rnacentral:lncRNA from 1 species
CAUUUUACUGAUAGUUCCUCAAUUUUCUCCCCAGGUACUUCCUCACUUGCACCUUCAAUUUUUGUGUCUAUUCUUGUUUUAAAUAGUCUUCAUAGGAAAUCUUACCUAGUUUCAAAUAUUGUUGGAACUCAGAUUUCUAAAUCUAUGACACCAACACAACAUCUCUUUUGAAAUGCAGAUUCAUACAUCUAUCAAACUCCCUCCUAAAUAUAAUUCCCAUUAAGUGUAUUGAAGUUUCAUCAAACUCUACAUAUCUGAAAAAUAGUUAUUUCCCUCACCUUGCCCCUCACUCUAAUAUGAACAAAUGUAUUUCUUCUAUGCUACUUUAAUCAUUAUAGAUUUUUCCUCUUUCACCUUUCUCUCAUGUAAUUAUUGACUGAGGUGAUUUUUUUAGAUAUUAAAUAUUUCUUGAAUAUCUCCACAUCUUUAUUCCUAUCCUGCCCAUAUCAGCUAGUAUGGCCAGGAAAACAGAAACCACUUUAGGUAGAAGGUAUUUAAUACAGGAAAUUAGAAACAACAUGGUUGGAAAUCAGAGGCAGGAAACAUCAGAAGAAAGUGGUCUGGUAUUUAGAGAACCCAGAAAUGCAGGAAUCAUAAAGUUGAUGCCAAUAAUCUCAACCUCCUGCAGGAUGAAGUGAGUUCUAAGAGCUCUGUACUCAUUAUAGAUCUUGGUCCCUCUAAAAUACCCCUUGAAGCUUUGUGGGAUCAAUUCCUAUACAUUCAGAAGCUAUGUCUGUCUGUCUGAGGGCUUUAUCUGGCUGUACAGACAUGCUGCAUGUGGGGCAGGACAUGAGUAUCAGAAAAUGAAUGCCCCAGGAACAACCUUCAACCACUGAGGAUCAGAAGUUGGUGAAUGAACAUGGCACCUCCUUACCCUCAGUGGAACAAUUCUGAAGUCUAGUCUAUAUAAUCCCUCCAAGGGUUUCCAGCAGGAUUGAGCCUCAGUUGACUACAGCUGUAAUCCAUAUGUCGAUGUCAUUUUAUUGGCUUUCUUCCCUUCCUUGUGUCACUUUUCCACCUCUUCUGCUUCUGGAUGAACUCCAAAAUAAGCUACCUGCUCUCAAGUCUUGUUCAUAGUUUAAGAUAUGAUUUAUGCAUUGCUUUUGGAGGAGGACAAUGCUUCUCUUUCUUUUCAAACUUCCACAUUUUAUGAGAGUGCAUCUUCUUGGCAGAAUUUAACUCAGAAAAUUUCUUGCAAGUGUCUGGCAAAUACAGUUUUUAGGCUCUUAAUUCUUGUGAUAGAGGGAAGUAUUUACUUAGAAAGGCAAGGAUGACUUUGAAUAUCUUUGAUGACAUAUUCAUGACACCAUCAAUGUAUAUUUUAAAACAUGCAAUAUGUAUUAUAUUUAUAUGGCCCUUGGGAUUAUAUAUUAUCCCAUUGAGUAUCAACACACAUUAUCUAGCAGAGCCCACAUCAUCCAAAUUUGAACUAUACACAUUUAGGCAAUAAUAACUAUGUCAUGCAGCAUAAUGCAACUAUAUCUUAAAUGUAAAAAUAUACUCACCAUCUCCCCAAAAAGGAGACACAAAGCAUUUCUUGUAGGUGCUAAUUUCUCUUCUAGCUUACUCACAAUGUCACCAGGAUAUUCUGUAAACUAAAUGCUAAAUUGAAACAAUUCAUUUUGUUAGAUGUUAAUCCUUAAAAAAGCCUACAAACCUUGCAUAUUGUCUUUCUAACCCAGUUUUCCAUUCUCAUUCCACACUGUGCUUUGCCUCUCACUGCUUCCUGCAGCCAUGCAGGCUUUCCUUGACUUUAUUGUGUUCCCCAAGCUGGCUCUACCCCAGACGUUGCACAUGCUCUUUCUGAUGUUCUAAGUGAAUCACUGAGUAUAGUGUAUAGUGUCUAGUACAUAAUAAGUUUUGACAUCAGGCUGGAGUGGAGUGGCGUGAUCAUAGCUCACCACAGCCUCCAACUCCUGGGUACAAGGGAUACUCCCAGCCUCCCAAGUAGCUAGAACUACAAGUGUGUGCCACCAUGCCCAGCUAAUUUAAAAAUAUUUUUGUAGAGAUGAGGUCUUGCUAUGUUGCCCAGGCAGGAAGGUCACAGUCUGAUAGAGGAGGUAAAAACACAUCCAGUCAACUAUAACACAAUGUGAUAUAUUAAGCUUUUACUCUGCCACCAUUAUAUUUAAUGUACUGAGGGAAGACAAAUGAGUGAACAACUAAUUAUAUUGGGGAAAGUAUUUGGGAAGACUCUAGAGAAGAUGUAACAAUUGUCUUUAAUAUUAAAAAAUGAUCUUUCUAAGGAGAGAUAUGUGGCAAAGAUGGUUCAGGUCCCUCCCACAACACAUAGGGAUUAUGGGAUUGCAAUUCAAGAGAAGAUUUGGGUUGGGACACAAAGCCAAACCAUAUCACAUGUUCUAGAGACAUCUCUUAACGGUUACACAAAAACCUAACUGAAUAAUUGAGGUCAUGCCAUCCUGCAAUAAAAAUGUUAAUAGGCUUUUAAACACAUUGAAAUGUGCAUUGUCCAGAUGCUUUCAGGCAUAAUUGCAAUGACAUUGGGAUCUUAUUCUGAGUUGGCAAUGUGCUGCAAUUAUUUUUUUAAGUCAGCAGCAUUUAAUUGAUUUGAAGAUUAUUCCUGUGUUUGAUAUUUGGAUGAGAUUGACAAAUACCCAUUUUUCUAGAAUAACGUUUUAAUGCAAAUUUUUUAUGACAGAGUGUCUGUGAUGCCAAAUGUUGCUCUUAUUUUCCACAAGAGAGCAUAAUUAUGAUUUUACAUCACUAAAAUUAUUUCACAUUUUUGAUUAAAGUUGGCUUGCUUUCUGUCAAUGCAGUUGAAAAAUGAAGUUUAUUGAUAUAUUGUAAAAGUAUUUCACUGGUUAGUGUUUCCACACAGAAAUUAUCAAAUAAAACAAUGCCAGUGAAGACUGUUUUGGGCAAUAAAGUUUAGAAUAUAUGUAUGUACCUUUUUCAAACAACGUGAAUGUCAUCAUGAAAAUUACAACAGUUUAUUAAGGAUAGCUUUUUAAAGUGAUGUUGUAGAAAGAGACUGGAUAAGACACAAAAACGAUGAGAAAAACACUUUCAGUCCUAAAUUCAUUAUUUGUUAGUGUGGUUUUUAACUUCAGAAUGAUAGCAUGCUUCCUAAAGCCCUACCAUAAAUAGCAUUAUUUUCAACAUGGCCAAUUUUCUAAUAUACCAAUACUCAUAUAAAACAGGGAUCUUAGAAAUCAGCAGUUUCAGUUCCAGGUCUUCUGAAAGCUCAUAUAAUUCUUCUGAAUUUUUACCGACAGCUUUGGGGAUUGUACUUUUGAUGGUAGGGCCAGCUUUUCUUACAAAUUUUUCCUUUCCUUUAAUUUGAAAAUAAUAUUUACUACAAAUGCUUUGGUUUCUUAUUAUAAUUGCCAUCAUACAGUUAAUGAAAACUAAAUUUUAUUAUUAUAACACCUAACUAUGAACCUCAAAUUCAGACUGUCUUGGUUUGUUUUUUUGCAAAAGUGGUGUAAGUUCCCCAACAAUCUGAUCAUUGAAUUUAUACUUACUCUUUACCCAAAGUUAAACAUAUCUUAAUUGGACAGUGUCCUAAUAAAAUAGUGUUAGGUAUUAUAUCCAGUCUCUCAAUGCUCAUCAGGAUUUAUUCUCAUGCUUAUUUUACUAUACUUGCUUUUCUAUUUUUUUUUUUGCCUUUUUAAUCUUCUCAUGUUUGCCUUCAAAUGAGUAAGAAGAUGGAGUGUGGGUGAUAAAAUGAGAGGAGUCCAGGUGUUUCAUUAAUAUGAAGGACAUUCCACUACUUAAAAAAAAAAGUUUGUGAUUUGAGAUCAAAUGGGGAAGAUAAAGUUGAAAAGUGCUGACAUGUUAUCAAAUCAUCAGCAUUAUGAAACAGCAGGUACCAGAGCCGUUCUAGAUAUUCAUUUAUGUUGACACUUUUAGGACACAAGGGAGAGAGUGUGGCUGUCAGUUAUCUCAUUUUGUUACUUUUGUAAAAGAUCUGCUGAUUCUUUGGGUAUAGCUCUGGUGUCAUUUCAAGUUUUUCCUGGCUCUAAGCAUCACGUCAUCGCCCUGGCAUCCUGUGCCUAUCUCUAACUGUACUAUUUCCUUUCUUCUCAAUUUAUGUGACUUUUUUCAAGAUACUUCAGUAUUUUAUCUCAUUAAGCA